GACGAACGCUGGCGGCGUGCUUAACACAUGCAAGUCUAGGGGAAGUUUUUCUUCGGACAGACGGACACUGGCGCACGGGUGAGUAACACGUAUGCAAUCUGCCCUUGGCCCGGGGAUAACACUUCCAACGAGGUGCUAAUACCCGAUGAUGCAGCGGCACCGCAUGGUGACAGUUGUUAAAGUUUUGGCGGCCAUGGAUGAGCAUGCGUCCCAUUAGGUAGUUGGCGGGGUAACGGCCCACCAAGCCAUCGAUGGGUAGCUGGUCUGAGAGGAUGAUCAGCCACACUGGGACUGAGACACGGCCCAGACUCCCACGGGAGGCAGCAGUGAGGAAUAUUGCGCAAUGGACGGAAGUCUGACGCAGCAACGCCGCGUGCGGGAUGAAGGCCUUCUAGGUCGUAAACCGCUGUAGCAGGGGAAAAAUACUCCGUUCGACGGAGUUGAUGGUACCCUGAAAGUAAGCCUCGGCUAACUACGUGCCAGCAGCCGCGGUAAUACGUAGGAGGCAAGCGUUGUCCGGAUUUACUGGGUGUAAAGGGUCCGCAGGCGGACAUCUAAGUCGGUGGUGAAAUCCUUCAGCUUAACUGAAGAACUGCCUUCGAUACUGGGUGUCUUGGAUAUAGGAGAGGGUGACGGAAUUCCAGGUGUAGCGGUGAAAUGCUUAGGUAUCUGGAAGAACACCGGUUGCGAAGGCUGUUGCCUGGCCUAUUAUUGACGCUCAUGGACGAAAGCGUGGGGAUCAAACAGGAUU
rnacentral:rRNA from 1 species